rnacentral:ncRNA from 2 species
AAUUAAUAUUUUGGUGCAGGUGCCCUAAGGGGCUUAAUAGGGAAGACCGGUUCAAGGCCGGCGCGGUCCCGCCACUGUAAUGAGGAGCAGAGCCAUGAAUGCCACUGGGAUAGAUCCUGGGAAGGUUUGGCCGAGCAAUGAUCCAGAGUCAGGAGAACUGCCUGCAUGACAAUCACCGU